GAUGAACGCUGGCGGCGUGCUUAACACAUGCAAGUCGAACGGAGUCAUCAUUUUUGAAGCAAUUAGCUUGCUAAGGGUGGAAAUGUUGGUGACUUAGUGGCGGACGGGUGAGUAACGCGUGGGUAACCUGCCAUAUACAGGGGGAUAACACUUAGAAAUAGGUGCUAAUACCGCAUAAGCGCACAGGACCGCAUGGUCUAGAGUGAAAAACAUUAGUGGUAUAUGAGGGCCCCGCGUCUGAUUAGCUGGUUGGUGAGGUAACGGCCCACCAAGGCGACGAUCAGUAGCCGGCCUGAGAGGGUGGACGGCCACAUUGGGACUGAGACACGGCCCAA
rnacentral:rRNA from 1 species